AGCAGCCGCGGUAAUUCCAGCUCCAAUAGCGUAUAUUAAAGUUGUUGCAGUUAAAAAGCUCGUAGUUGAAUUUCGGGAUCAAUAUUUCGGUCAUGCCGUUGGUAUGCACUGUUAUCAUUGAUUUCUCACCUUCUAAAGAACCGUAGUGCCAUUAAUUUGGUGUUACGGGGAAUUAGGACUGUUACCUUGAAAAAAUUAGAGUGUUUAAAGCAGGCUCACGCUUGAAUACAUUAGCAUGGAAUAAUGAAAUAGGACAUCCGAUUCUAUUUUGUUGGUUUCUAGGAUCGAUGUAAUGAUUAAUAGGGAUAGUUGGGGGCAUUAGUAUUCAAUUGUCAGAGGUGAAAUUCUUGGAUUUAUUGAAGACUAACUACUGCGAAAGCAUUUGCCAAGGAUGUUUUCAUUAAUCAAGAACGAAAUUUAGGGGAUCGAAGACGAUCAGAUACCGUCGUAGUCUUAACCAUAAACUAUGCCGACUAGGGAUCGGAUGAUGUUUAAUUUUUUAAUGACCCA
rnacentral:rRNA from 1 species